GAUACCGAACUUUAUCAAUGAACAGGGAACACCAAUGAUGCUAAUGGGAGACGAAUAUGGACAUACCCGAGAUGGUAAUAACAAUAGCUACGGACAUGAUACUGCUCUAAACAAUUUCCAGUGGAAUGAGGCAAGUCUUACAUAUUUUGUUUAUUAUGGAUUAUUCCCUUAAUGUUUAUAUGAUGUCUUUCUUUUACCCAGCUCGAUGCGAGGAGGCAGAACCAUUUCAGGUUUUUCUCAGAGGUGAUCAAGUUCCGACAUUUACACCAUAUAUUCAAGCACGAAAAUUUCCUCAACGAAGGCGACAUUACAUGGCAUUAAGAUCAAUGGGAGAAUCAUGAGAGCACUUUCCUAGCUUUCACGCUCCAUGAUGGUGUAAGCGGCCAAGACGUCUAUGCGGCUUUCAAUGCCCAUAAUUUUUAGGUCAAUCCUCAUCUCCCACUGCCACCUACGGGAAAACAAUGGUUCCGCGUGGCUGACACAAACCUCGAGUCACCAGAUGAUUUUGUAAGGGAAGGUGUGGCAGGCUUGGCUGACAAAUACAAUAUGGCUCCAUUCUCUUCGAACCUUCUCAAGUCCCUGUAAAGGAAAGCACAUUCCUGAUCUUCUUUGGUAUUUCAACAUUUCCAAUCAAAUUAAAACAAAUAAUACGUGUGUGUGUUUUUAAAGGUUUUCAUGUAACCGUUAACUCAUAUUUCAUUUUUCUUUGAUUCCUCGUAAAACAUCUGAAGGUUUGAUCGGUAAAACUGACGACAA